GGGGAUUAGCUCAGUGGUAGAGCGCUUGCCUAGGAAGCGUAAGGCCCUGGGUUCGGUCCCCAGCUCCG
rnacentral:tRNA from 1 species